ACGUAGUUAGCCGUGACUUAUUCCUGAGGUACCGUCCUCUCUCGUCCCCAGAAAAGAGCUUUACAACCCAAGGCCUUCAUCGCUCACGCGGCGUUGCUGCCUCAGACUUGCGUCCAUUGGGCAAUAUUCCUCA
rnacentral:rRNA from 1 species